rnacentral:rRNA from 1 species
UACGAAGGGGGCAAGCGUUGUUCGGAAUUACUGGGCGUAAGGCGGCGUAGGCGGUCAGCACAAGUCAGUUGUGAAAUCUCCGGGCUUAACUCGGAAAGGUCAACUGAUACUGUGCGACUAGAGUGCGGAAGGGGCAACUGGAAUUCCUGGUGUAGCGGUGAAAUGCGCAGAUAUCAGGAGGAACACCGGUGGCGAAGGCGGGUCUCUGGGCCGAUACUGACGCUGAGGAGCGAAAGCGUGGGGAGCGAACAGG